rnacentral:rRNA from 1 species
UACGGGGGGAGCAAGCGUUGUUCGGAUUUACUGGGCGUAAAGGGCGCGUAGGCGGCCAGCACAAGUCAGUUGUGAAAUCUCCGAGCUUAACUCGGAAAGGUCAACUGAUACUGUGCGGCUAGAGUGCGGAAGGGGCAACUGGAAUUCUUGGUGUAGCGGUGAAGUGCGUAGAUAUCAAGAGGAACACCUGCGGCGAAGGCGGGUUGCUGGGCCGACACUGACGCUGAGGCGCGAAAGCCAGGGGAGCGAACGGG